rnacentral:sRNA from 1 species
GCUUGGUCUUGGAGCCGCAAUUUGAGAAUGACGCAUCUGAGCUAGAUUCUCCUGGAACUGAGGUUUAAGUAACCUUCUCAGACGGUUGUUCCCCACCCUGCUCCUCUCAAUCACUCCCCAGCUGGAAAAUGGAGCCCAAAACUGGAUCAUGGCCUAUAAAAUACUUCAAGUAGCCCUGUGUUCAACAUUGCUUAUCGGAAUAUCUGUAUGAUAAUCAGAAUAACUGAUGCAAGAUGUGUUCUACACACUCAGAGAUCAUGACUUGUGUUUCCUUUUCUUGCAGGCUCAUGAAACAUGGAUUGCUUUGAAAACAACAGCACAGUAUUAUUUGGAUAUGAAUACCUUCACCUUUGACAUGUCUACUGCCCAGUAAAUAUGUUUUCCUGGUUAAAGCAGGAGGAUGAAGAUGGCACAAGUUGGAAUGGCAUUGUGCCCAAACCAUGGGUUUUAGAGAUCUGAGGGUAUAUCCAUGCUGUUUACUACAUUAUUUAUUAUGUCUGUCUCAAAGUUGUUGAAAAGAGUAGUUAUGAAAACCCAUGUAGAAACUUGGAAUAAGACAUUCUCAAUAAAUGGUAGUUCUCAAAAAAAGAAC